rnacentral:tRNA from 1 species
AAUCACUUUUUAGUAUCUUGAAAAUACUACCUUAGAAUUAAAUUUCUAGUGAUUU